CCUAAACCUAAACCUCUCGACUAUCUCUCUCAACCUCAUCUCCCUCUUCCUCUUCCUCUUCCUCCUGGAUCUCUUCCCCUUCUUGGAUCGAUGCCCCCCUCAAUCGGAUCAAAACCACCUGCUUCUUCUCCACGCUCGCCGGCACGAUCUGGCCGGGCUAGUCCGGCGGCUCCGGCCUCACCGGCACCCACGGGGGCUCCGUUGAAGGCUCUUGCUUGCUCAACGACGGCGGCGAGCUCGUGUUGAGGCAAAAGGAAGCAGAGAACAGGGAAGCGUCUCCUCCAUUUCCUUGUUGCCGCUGAAGCUCGAGAAUCGAUUCCUCCAACCUCUGAGCAAACUCCUCCACAUUAUCCUCCUCCGCCCGACCAUCAUCGACGCCGCCAAAAGGGAAGCACUCGGUCCUGGCGCCGAAGGCGCGGCGGAGUUGUGUAUGUGGGUCCACUGCAACGUGACCAGUCGCCUACCACCUACCGCUCUUCCACCCACCUCUCUCUCUCUCUCCGUCUCUCUAUUUAUACGCCCCACGCCCCACUCCUCCAAAUUGUGGCUUGUGGGUGAUCCCGUUGCGGUUUGAGUUCUUCCCUCUCCGUGCCAGGACCGCGAUUUCGUUGCUCUUCAGAUGGAUGAAAUCAAGAAAACUCAGCAAUAGCCUUGAAGGUUUUUUCUUGCGUCUAAGGCUUGGGAAAUGGGAGAAAGGACCAGGAGGAACUGGCUACAAGGUGGCUCGCAUAAUUAGAAAAGAACGAUGUUAAGCUUGAGAAAGUUCUAAAGGAAGCAGCUAUGGAAAACAAAACAGUAAUAUUAACAACUUUGAAUGUUGCCUGGGCUUCUCCUGGUUCUAUUAUAGAUUUGUUUUUUCAAAGUUUUCGGACAGGAGAUGAAACACGCAGACUCCUGGACCAUUUGGUAAUCAUUGCCUUGGACAAGAAAGCGUACAUAAGGUGCAUAUCCUUGCAUACUCACUGUUUUGCUCUUUAUACUGAGGGAAUGGAUUUCUCAGAUGAGAAGAUUUACAUGACUGCUGGAUAUUUGUCAAUGAUGUGGAGAAGGAUAGAAUUUCUGCGUGUUAUUCUCGAAAUGGGAUACAACUUUAUUUUCUCGUUUACAAAUCUCAAGUACUCCAGAGUUGAAAUUGAUGAAGUGCAGUUCGAGUGGGCUGAAU